ACAGGCUCCUAUCGAAGCCGAUCAUGCUCUCCUGUAGCAGUGAACGGUCAAAAGGAAGCCAAAAUCAAGACUUUCACCGACGGUCGCUGUUCAGUUUGAUGUAACUGCUCCAGCAACAUUUAGGGGAAGGACAAAU